UACACACCGCCCGUCACGCCACGAAAGUUGUCUGUACCCGAAAUCAUUUUAGCUAACCUUAAUCGGAGGCGGAUGCUGAAGGUAUGGGGAAUGAUUGGGGUG
rnacentral:rRNA from 1 species